UAUACAUAUUAUAUUACACGUAAAGGUACUGUUGCAUUAUAACAAAAGGUAUAACGUGUUUCCUAAAUUGAAUAACUAAAUAAUUGUGACGAUUAUAUAUCUAUAAACAUCGAUAAAAAAUAUGCUGAAUUUAUAAGCGAAUAACUUUAACACAAUGACACUUUUUUUCUCUAUUGACCAGUGCUCUCUAUAGACAUUAGAAGCAUGUCCUACCACAAUAACGGUGGCACUUUGAUGUUUUUUCCCAUCCAAUAUCCAAUACUUCACUCUCCCUCCAAUACCCUCCUUUUUCCUGUAAUGAGAAAAUCAAACUUUCUUUCAAACUAAAGAUCUAGGUUUGACUCUCGACGAAACAAUAAAAUUAUAUUUUUGCUCAUAUAAAAAACAAAGAGAAAAUUAGCAGUAGAUUUCUAUUAAGUAAAGAUUUAUUUUUUAAUAAAAUCAAUACGUUAUCGUUGUGAUAUUAAUGGCGUGAUUUGAGUCAUAAACGUAUCGUAGUAGUAAAAACUAUCACUGUGUUGCGCCGUGCAUGAUAUUAAUUCCCUCUGUACUAGUAAGUACCUAGAUUACUGAAGUCAUGGGCUGUUUUCAUAAGAAAUUUUUUAAUUGUUUUCUCAAAAAAGUGAAAUUAACACAAUUCUGGAUGAAUGCCCUAGCUAUAAUUUUUGUUAAACGUCAUUUCAUGUUGUCUAAAAAUUCGUAUUACAUAUAAUUCAAAGGGAAUCGGGAGAUCCCUGACGACCCCCGUUAUCACGAACAAAUAAGUAAGUUCAUACAAAAUAAUGUAACGCUAUUAUAGACUUUAUCCCAUUACAAUAAAGAUGACACUCACUCAGCAGUUAGCUCUUGGACGCAGAUGUAAUGUUGCCGUCAUAAUACACAUGAAUACUACUAAAAUGUUAAGCGUUAUCUAUUGAGAGCUUUAUUUCAAUAGCAAUAACGUUCAGUUUAUAUUUAUUUUUGUUUAUAACUGGUUUGGUACGUUUGUCGUUAACAUACAAUAUAAACUAGACGCAAUGCAAGAAUCUUCACAAUACAAAAAGCAGCACGGUUCAUAACUUGUUAGUGACAAAGGAGGAAAGAAAAAUCAAAAAUGAAUUUCGGAAAACUGUUCUUCUUCGUCUUCGCCUGUGUCUUGGCUUUGAGCUCGGUGUCGGCGGCGCCAAAAUGGAAGAUUUUCAAGAAAAUUGAACACUUCGGUCAAAACAUUCGUGAUGGUCUCAUCAAGGCUGGCCCUGCAGUACAAGUCGUGGGUGAAGCUGCAACCAUCUACAAAGGAAAAUAGAGAAACCAGAAGAAUGAUGACAUGCCAUGCCAAAAAUAUGGAGUUAUUUACAAUACGAAUGCAAGAACAUAAAGUGAAGUUAUCGAUCCUCAAUGCCUCGUUCUUAUUUUAGGAACAUAUGCUUUCAUAACAAAACCAAAUUUCUCAUUUACAAGUUUGUUUCGUAUCAGCGGAUUACUCUGUAACCCAUACAAUUUAUUUGUUAGGAAUAGAAUACAAUGUAGUUAAACGUGGUACCGGCGGUGGCUGGUGGAACAGAACAGAUUCUAUUGUACAUAUAUGCUUCUCUGUACUUACUACCCCACAUACUCAAAAUAAUUUAUUUGUAAUGUAAGAUAAUAGUAUUAUUUAUAAAUAAACAUUAAUAGUUA